UCGCGAAUGCAUCUAGAUUAGAGUUUGAUCCUGGCUCAGAACGAACGCUGGCGGCAGGCUUAACACAUGCAAGUCGAACGCCCCGCAAGGGGAGUGGCAGACGGGUGAGUAACGCGUGGGAACAUACCCUUUCCUGCGGAAUAGCUCCGGGAAACUGGAAUUAAUACCGCAUACGCCCUACGGGGGAAAGAUUUAUCGGGGAAGGAUUGGCCCGCGUUGGAUUAGCUAGUUGGUGGGGUAAAGGCCUACCAAGGCGACGAUCCAUAGCUGGUCUGAGAGGAUGAUCAGCCACAUUGGGACUGAGACACGGCCCAAACUCCUACGGGAGGCAGCAGUGGGGAAUAUUGGACAAUGGGCGCAAGCCUGAUCCAGCCAUGCCGCGUGAGUGAUGAAGGCCUUAGGGUUGUAAAGCUCUUUCACCGGAGAAGAUAAUGACGGUAUCCGGAGAAGAAGCCCCGGCUAACUUCGUGCCAGCAGCCGCGGUAAUACGAAAGGGGGCUAGCGUUGUUCGGAAUUACUGGGCGUAAAGCGCACGUAAGCGAUAUUAAGUCAAGCGUGAAUCCCAGAGCUCAACUCUGGGAACUGCCUUUGAUACUGGUAUCUUGAGUAUGGAAGAGGUAAGUGGAAUUCCGA
rnacentral:rRNA from 1 species